rnacentral:rRNA from 1 species
GACGAACGCUGGCGGCGUGCCUAAUACAUGCAAGUCGAACGGUCUUUUCUAUGGAAGCUUGCUUCCACUGAGAAGAUAGUGGCGAACGGGUGAGUAACACGUGGGUAACCUGCCCAUAAGAGGGGGAUAACAUCCGGAAACGGGUGCUAAUACCGCAUAGGCUUCUUGAUCGCAUGAUCGAGAAAGGAACGACGGCCUUUGCGCUGUCGCUUAUGGAUGGACCCGCGGCGUAUUAGUUAGUUGGUGAGGUAACGGCUCACCAAGACGAUGAUACGUAGCCGACCUGAGAGGGUGAUCGGCCACAUUGGGACUGAGACACGGCCCAAACUCCUACGGGAGGCAGCAGUAGGGAAUCUUCCGCAAUGGACGAAAGUCUGACGGAGCAACGCCGCGUGAGUGAAGAAGGUUUUCGGAUCGUAAAACUCUGUUGUCAGAGAAGAACAAGUCGGAGAGUAACUGCUCCGGCCUUGACGGUAUCUGACCAGAAAGCCACGGCUAACUACGUGCCAGCCGCCGCCGUAAUAC